rnacentral:rRNA from 1 species
AAUCAACGCUGGCGGCGUGCCUCAGACAUGCAAGUCGAACGAGAAAGUUUCCUUCGGGGAAUGAGUAAAGUGGCGCACGGGUGAGUAACACGUAGGUAAUCUACCUUCGGGUGGGGAAUAACCCAGGGAAACUUGGGCUGACACCGCAUAAUGCAGCGGCACCACAUGGUGACAGUUGUUAAAGCGGGGGAUUUUAGGACCUCGCGCCUGAAGAGGAGCCUGCGGCGGAUUAGCUAGUUGGUAAGGUAACGGCUUACCAAGGCGACGAUCCGUAACCGGCCUGAGAGGGGCGGGUCGGUCACACUGACACUGACAUACGGGUCAGACUCCUACGGGAGGCAGCAGUCGGGAAUUUUGGGCAAUGGGCGAAAGCCUGACCCAGCAACGCCGCGUGAAGGAU